CACAAGGAAAAUUAGUAACGGGCAACCAAUCGAUCUAAGAACAUUGUGGAUGAACUUCACAGAACAGGUUAAUUACAUGCCCAGAAUAAGUCAAGAACAUCAUUAACUAAAAACUCCAACUUCGAAAAAAUUCAAGUACGUUUUAUAUCCAACAGCACAUCCUUCUUAUUCAUUGCCUAAACAGAAGUUCUUCAGAAGAAAGAAGUGACCCACAUUGUGACUAAAAAAAAAAAAAUUAGGUCCUAAAGUUUUUCUAUUCAGAGUUAUUUAAGCUUUUGGGGCAGAAAGUAGCCCUAUGCAGAAAAUAUUUUAAUGGACAUAAAUCAAGUGACAAAUUUAUAACCCCUAGGAGUUGGCUGAAGUGGUAAAGGCCUUCAUCUUGGAGGUAUGCUCCCUCCAAGUCUAAGGUUUGAAUCCUCUUAGGUGCAAACAAUUUCAAGGAGUCAUCAGAUUAGAGGAACUUUCUUUUAAAUUACCCGAUGUGCACUUGUGAAAAACUCUUUGCCGAGGGCCUAUGCACCCUCGAGAUUAGUUCGGACUUUGUUCUCAGACGCCCGGUGCCAAUAAAAAAAAAAAUUUGAACUUGAGAUUCUCU